AAUAGAUACCCAGGUAGUCCACGCCCUAAACGAUGUCAACUAGCUGUUGGGGUCUUCGGACCUUGGUAGCGCAGCUAACGCGUGAAGUUGACCGCCUGGGGAGUACGGUCGCAAGAUUAAAACUCAAAGGAAUUGACGGGGACCCGCACAAGCGGUGGAUGAUGUGGAUUAAUUCGAUGCAACGCGAAAAACCUUACCUACCCUUGACAUGUCUGGAAUCCUGAAGAGAUUUGGGAGUGCUCGCAAGAGAACCGGAACACAGGUGCUGCAUGGCUGUCGUCAGCUCGUGUCGUGAGAUGUUGGGUUAAGUCCCGCAACGAGCGCAACCCUUGUCAUUAGUUGCUACGAAAGGGCACUCUAAUGAGACUGCCGGUGACAAACCGGAGGAAGGUGGGGAUGACGUCAAGUCCUCAUGGCCCUUAUGGGUAGGGCUUCACACGUCAUACAAUGGUCGGGACAGAGGGUCGCCAACCCGCGAGGGGGAGCCGAAUCCCAGAAACCCGAUCGUAGUCCGGAUCGCAGUCUGCAA
rnacentral:rRNA from 1 species